rnacentral:rRNA from 1 species
CCUACGGGCGGCAGCAGUGAGGAAUAUUGGUCAAUGGCCGGGAGGCUGAACCAGCCAAGUCGCGUGAGGGAAGACGGCCCUACGGGUUGUAAACCUCUUUUGUCAGGGAGCAAGGUGCAGGUCGGGACCUGCUGUGAGAGUACCUGAAGAAAAAGCAUCGGCUAACUCCGUGCCAGCAGCCGCGGUAAUACGGAGGAUGCGAGCGUUAUCCGGAUUUAUUGGGUUUAAAGGGUGCGCAGGCGGAGGCACAAGUCAGCGGUAAAAUCGCGGGGCUCAACCCCGCUCCGCCGUUGAAACUGUGUGCCUUGAGUGGGCGAAGGGUAGGCGGAAUGCGUGGUGUAGCGGUGAAAUGCAUAGAUAUCACGCAGAACUCCGAUCGCGAAGGCAGCCUACCGGCGCGCAACUGACGCUUAUGCACGAAAGCGUGGGUAUCGAACAGGAUUAGAUACCCCAGUAGUC